rnacentral:rRNA from 1 species
UACAGAGGUGGCAAGCGUUGUUCGGAAUUACUGGGCGUAAAGGGCGCGUAGGCGGUCUUGUAAGUCUCGUGUGAAAUCCCUCGGCUUAACUGAGGAACUGCACGGGAUACUGCUUGACUUGAGUUCGGGAGAGGGAAGCGGAAUUCCGGGUGUAGCGGUGAAAUGCGUAGAUAUCCGGAGGAACACCGGUGGCGAAGGCGGCUUUCUGGUCUGUAACUGACGCUGAGGCGCGAAGCGUGGGGAGCAAACAGGA